AGAGUUUGAUCCUGGCUCAGGACGAACGCUGGCGGCGUGCCUAAUACAUGCAAGUCGAGCGAAGGAUAGGCCUCAAAUCUUCGGAUGCGAAGCCUAUCACUGAGCGGCGAACGGGUGAGUAACGCGUGGGCAACCUGCCCCCCAGACUGGGAUAACAGCUCGAAAGGGCUGCUAAUACCGGAUACGCCUCAAGUCCCGCAUGGGAUUUGAGUGAAAGCGCUUAGCGCUGGGGGAUGGGCCCGCGUCCCAUUAGCUAGUUGGUGAGGUAACGGCUCACCAAGGCGACGAUGGGUAGCCGGCCUGAGAGGGUGGACGGCCACACUGGGACUGAGACACGGCCCAGACUCCUACGGGAGGCAGCAGUAGGGAAUAUUGCGCAAUGGGGGGAACCCUGACGCAGCGACGCCGCGUGAGCGAUGAAGGCCUUCGGGUCGUAAAGCUCUGUCCUAUGGGACGAAGAAGACGGUACCAUAGGAGGAAGCCCCGGCUAACUACGUGCCAGCAGCCGCGGUAAUACGUAGGGGGCGAGCGUUGUCCGGAAUUACUGGGCGUAAAGGGUGCGUAGGCGGAUAUGCAAGUCCGAUGUGAAAUGCGCCGGCUUAACCGGUGAGCUGCAUUGGAAACUGUAUAUCUAGAGUGCAGGAGAGGGAAGCGGAAUUCCUAGUGUAGCGGUGGAAUGCGUAGAUAUUAGGAGGAACACCAGUGGCGAAGGCGGCUUCCUGGACUGUAACUGACGCUGAGGCACGAAAGCUGGGGUAGCGAACAGGAUUAGAUACCCUGGUAGUCCCAGCCGUAAACGAUGGGUACUAGGUGUUGUCACUUCAUUGUGGCAGUGCCGUAGUUAACGCAAUAAGUACCCCGCCUGGGGAGUACGGCCGCAAGGCUGAAACUCAAAUGAAUUGACGG
rnacentral:rRNA from 1 species